GCCGGGAUGGGGUAGUUUGGUCAAUCCUACGGGACUGUGGAUCCUGCGACCCGGGUUCAAAUCUCGGUCCCGGCC
rnacentral:tRNA from 2 species